rnacentral:rRNA from 1 species
CAAGUAGGGGGCGAGCGUUGUCCGGAUUUAUUGGGCGUAAAGAGCUCGUAGGCGGUUCGGUAAGUCAGAUGUGAAAGUCCAGGGCUCAACCCUGGGAGGCCAUCUGAUACUGCCGUGACUUGAGUCCGGUAGGGGAGCGUGGAAUUCCUGGUGUAGCGGUGAAAUGCGCAGAUAUCAGGAGGAACACCAGCGGCGAAGGCGGCGCUCUGGGCCGGUACUGACGCUGAGGAGCGAAAGCGUGGGGAGCGAACAGG